CGCGAAACGGCCGCGAUCGGCCGCCGCCCGCGUGCGCCCUGGCGCUGAAGGAGAGCCGAGAGGAAGGGGUCCGGGCGGGCGCGGCCCGGCUGGGGCCGGCGUGCUGCGUUCGGCACCGAUCCGCCGGGGGGAGGCGGCGCGGGAGGGCCGUUGAGACGCGCCAGCGUGGGCGGAGAACCCAGCGAACGGGUGGAAGGCGCUGAGGGAGGCGUUCCUGCAGCCACUUUGUCACUGUCAUUGGUCUUUAAUUCUCACCCAUCUCCCCGGCUGCUUUUAGAAACAGCUUCACAGGCAGAUCAGAGCUCCUUCUGCCACCUCUCCUUCCACCUGGCGCAGAGGGCCAUGGUACUUCAGCUGUGCAGUGCUACCACCCUCUGGCCACUUCAAUUCCACAGUCCUCAAUCUGCAGGAGACUCUGAACUUAGUCGUAUGCCUCCUACAUCUACUCUUGGGUCACCGUGGGUGAAGUUCCCAGCUGGGCAACUGGCAUCCAAAUUGCGCUGGAUGAUUGAUAAAAGAAAUAGGAAUGGCUCCUCAGCCCUUUCAAGAAGAAUUUUGUCCAUUCUAACAGAUGUUCCUGCACAAGUUUGCCAUCACUCUAAAGCAAGUGUGUCAUGGCUGACCAACUGUGUCACCCCUGGGAUCCCCCAGCUGUAUCACUUAGUACCAUACCUGCUAUGGAGAGCAAGGGAGCACAGGCAUCUGGCACACUUCCUACAUAUCAGUCCCACCUGCAGCACCUUGUCACUGGGCCUGUUUGCAUCAGACAGAGCUGCACAAUGUGUAAAGUGCCUUUGUCAGCUAGUAUGGUGGAUUCUGGCUUAUAAUCACUAUGGCUAAAUAGAAAAAAAGCUUGACAAAAUCCACACUGCAUUUUUAAUUGCUGUUGGAAUCGUCAGAACUAACCCAUCCUGUUCCUGUUUCUCUCUUCCUGUUUCUGAUGCCCACACUCAUCAUGCUUGUGCUUGGCAGGGGUUCAGAGCUGCAACUGGAAGCAUCCUGAGGCUUGUGAGAUCUGAGUAACUGCUACUCUGUUGCAAGCCUAACAGCACAGAUCUCUUGGAGAACCACACGAUAUGCUUGAUUUUUAAACCUGUUGUUUUUAAACUAAUAUUUAGAAAUCCAAAAUAAGUUAGCUGUGCUUCCCUAAAGACAGAACUAUUGCAGAAUAAUUGGGGUAGUUUCGAAGCAAAUGUGAAUCCUUAAUCACUUGUGAAUAUUGCACAGCAGUAACAGGCUGUCUUAACAGGAACUUGUGUCCUCCAUCCAACAAAUGCUUGCAGAUCACAGAAAACAACCAAGCCCAAAGUCUAGAAAAACCAUCUCCAGCAAACAGCACGGGGAUUUCAUAAUUAAGCAUAAGUUGUGAAUGCGUGUCAGUAGUCUCAGUUUGGAAAAGAACAUUUCCUCAGUCAACGUAAAACAGUUUCAUGACUGUGAAGAAAGAACUGAAUGGGCAUUUAUUAUUUACUCUCUUAGGAAGAUCAGAAAAUAGGUGAUUAAAAUGUUAUUCGCUGUUUUAAAGUGAUGAUACUUUUGAUCAAAUUAAUAAAAUUCUCAUUACUCACUAUAACCACAGUGUCUUCUAUAUGCUGAGACAGCUACAACCCUGCUACUCUUUUCACAAUUCAUUCGCACUCUUCGUUUAAUUUAUGUUCUUAUUUCUAAGAAUACUGCAGAAAGUCUAUGGGGAAAACAGAUUUCUUUUAUCUUCCCCAAAAGCUGGAGCAUGGAGUUAUUCAUUUGUUAGCUUUUGGGAAACAGAACAGCAUAGACAAAUGGCAGGAAAUUCAGAAUUCAAGUGCAGAGCAAGUAUCCGAUAAAAUAAAUAAAUGAAUAAAGCAAGCAAACAUGUUAAACCUAUUCUCAAUCUGAGCAGCUCAUUUGACUGGUCUUCUAGUUGCUAUAUUGCAAAGCAAAAGUUAUGCAUCUUGCUCGAGGAACACCACACAAAUUAGAAGAAAUGCCAACACUGGAAAAUGCAGUAGUCUUAGAUUGGUCUGCCAUUUGGGAGGACUGGUUUUCUGAUUACAUGACACUCGUCAUGUUUCUUUUUCUAUACCUGUUUUGUGUGAACGUUACUAACUCGUCUGGGUAAUGUUUUAUCUGGAGCUUUACUGUCCCUGCUGAAUUCCACUGGCUUCUGUUCCUGUAAUGUACACAGUCUCAAUUUGGAAGACUAAACACUCUAAAAACUUUGGAGUUAUGGUUUUUGACUGCUCCACUACCAAUUUCUGUAUUCCAUAUAAGCUACCAUUUAAUUGACAAGUUAGAUUAUGAAUUAACUUCCCUACCACCUGCCCUGCACGUUUUCUGCAGUUAGCUAAAUGUACUUGUAGGAGGUCUGGCAUUUAUUUCUCUGAAUGACAAAAUGGAAUAGGCAACACUAAUCUCCUACAAGCAGACUUUCCUGCUCCAUUUUCAAUAUUUUGAUGAAUUCCACUGAUUUCUUGGUGUACGUUAGUGUAUAUACACAAAUUGGUUAAAAAAGUUUCUAUUUUAUCUAUUUAUCUAUUAUCUAUUUUAUUUAUUUUUUUCUAUUUAUCUAUUUUAUUUUUACCGAAAGCUUACAAUCAUGUUUCCAUGAUUACCAGUUAUACCUAAUUUUUGUGAUUGGGUGCACCAGACAGUUUGCUGAUGACACCAAGCUGAGUGGUAUAGUUGAUACAAUAGA
ensembl:lncRNA